CUACAGGCUUAACACAUGCAAGUCGAGGGGAAACGGCAUUGAGUGCUUGCACUCUUUGGACGUCGACCGGCGCACGGGUGAGUAACGCGUAUCCAACCUUCCCAUUACUGUGGGAUAACCUGCCGAAAGGCAGACUAAUACCGCAUAGUCUUCGAUGACGGCAUCAGAUUUGAAGUAAAGAUUUAUCGGUAAUGGAUGGGGAUGCGUCUGAUUAGCUUGUUGGCGGGGUAACGGCCCACCAAGGCUACGAUCAGUAGGGGUUCUGAGAGGAAGGUCCCCCACAUUGGAACUGAGACACGGUCCAAACUCCUACGGGAGGCAGCAGUGAGGAAUAUUGGUCAAUGGACGGAAGUCUGAACCAGCCAAGUAGCGUGCAGGAUGACGGCCCUAUGGGUUGUAAACUGCUUUUGUAUGGGGAUAAAGUUAGGGACGUGUCCCUAUUUGCAGGUACCAUACGAAUAAGGACCGGCUAAUUCCGUGCCAGCAGCCGCGGU
rnacentral:rRNA from 1 species